GAGUUUUGUAUACAAAAAUAUAUACAAAGCGUCGACGCCAAAUGAUACUUUUUGUUGUUCAUAAAAUAAAUAUCAUCAAUGGCAGCCAUUGAUAAAGUAAAAAUCAUAGUGGUUGGAGAUUCUGGUAAACAUUUGAAUAAAACCAUAUUUAACAAUUAAUUAUUAGCAGUACUUUGUUGUUUACGAUCGUUGACGUGUCAUGCACAAGAUUUAGAUUAGAUUAUAAACAAAAUACACUGCUCGAAAUGUUUCAAAAAAUUUUGAAAAUUGUUAUAUUUACGUUAACGAAGCAUGAUAAAAUGAUUUGCAAAAAUUAAAAGAAAGAUCCCAAAUUUAUUUUUAGUCUUUGAAUUUUUUCUCGUAUAGGCGUUGGAAAGUCAUCUUUAACACAUUUAAUAUGUCAACAACAACCAAUCAAUAAUCCAUCUUGGACAAUUGGAUGUUCCGUAGAAGUCAAAUUGCAUGAAUAUAAAGAAGGAACACCAAAUCAGCGGAGAUAUUUCAUAGAAUUAUGGGAUGUUGGUGGUAGUCAGAGCCACAAAAACACACGACAUGUUUUUUAUAGUCCAACAAACGGCAUUAUUCUUGUACACGACUUAACUAAUAGGAAGUCACAGCAAAAUCUACAGAAAUGGCUAGAGGAAGUUUUGAGUAAAGACAAUAGUCAUUUCAAACCAAAACAGUUUGAUGAUUUUGAUCCAGAGAAAUUUGUAGGGUCAACGCAGAUUCCAAUAUUGGUAAUUGGUACAAAAUCAGAUUUGGUAUCAGAAGUGAGAUCAAGUAUCCAUAGACGUUCUUCCACCAUUGCUGAAGAAUGUGGUGCAGAUGAAAUAUUUUUAGACUGCCGACAAACAAGGUCACUAGCAGCAGGUACUAGUUCAUCUGUAAAAUUGAGCAGAUUUUUCGACAAAGUAAUUGAAAGAAGAUACUAUGCAUCCAGGGAUGGAAUGAAUGCUGAACAGCGUAGACUUCCUGUUUAUACAUCUCAAUACAGUCCAAAACAGUACCAUAAUGACUAGUGUAAAGUUAAGUUGUACAAAAAUAAGCUUUUGUAUACUAUAAACGUUAUAUAGAAAAAGUAAAUUGUAUAUUUUUAAGAAUUUAAGUGUAAUUUUAUAAAUGGUAAUAAUAUAAGCAAAAUUGAU